CUGGAGGGGGCGCGGGCACCUGCUCGGCCACGGGAGCGCGCGCCCGACCCGGGACGCACAGGGGCCCAAAGGAGCCGCACGUCCCCGGGACGCCCCUGCCUCCUUCGGGGUCUGUACUGGGCAGCUGGGCCGAUCCCCGGAAGGGACAGUGCAAGUGGCGAGGGCAUCCUCCCGCAUCGAGCUGUUCCCCUCACGCCUCUCUCCCUUCUCUAAAUCCAGAUUCGGCCGUGGAUGGAGGGAAUCUACUGAAAGGAACAUUAAUGGGUCAGAAGCAUGGACGCGUACCUGAAACACCUGGCUUUGGAAUUACUGGAGCCACAGCAGCUGCCUUGCAACCAUGAGAGUGAAUUUCAUAGCGAAGAUGGUGGACGAGAGGUGGGAGUCCAGAGGCUUCAAGGCAAUGUUCAGUAGCUGCCCGGCCCGCCUGUGUCUGGGGUUCUCGUCAGGCAGGGAGGAAGGACACAGUGAGAAGAAACUGAAGAGUCCGGAGGGGAGGCCUGACGGAGCAAGAGGAGAGGGAGAACAACAGAGAAUCAAAAGCACAAAGAGAGGACCAGCGUUGACCGAAGACAACAGGUCGCCCACCAAGUUGGUCGUAAAUGAGCAGGAAGAUGAAGACCUGAAGAGGGUGGCUGAGCUAGAGUUUUGGGAGCCCUCGUAA
rnacentral:lncRNA from 1 species